rnacentral:rRNA from 1 species
UAUUGCUGGUGUGUUAAAUCAAGAGGAACAACACUAAUCCAUUCCGAACUUAGUAGUUAAACUCU